UCCACUUCUCCAUUUGAGCGGCAAUUCACGAAUGGAGGUUUUAUUCUCUUUUCCCUCACACGCUUCUUUUUCUCAUCUAUUUUUUCUUACAGUCGUUGUUUCCAUAAGUAUCUUUCAUUCAAACUGCAUAUUCAAAUUUCAAACUCUUAAAUCUUCACUUUUGAGAUUUUCUUACAAUCGUUUUUUCUUCUUAAUCAAUCCAUCAUCGCUAUCUCUUUCCUCUGUUCGUCACAUGAUAUUUAUUAUUUAAUCAAUCGUUGCUUCUCCUUUCAGCCGUGAAAAAACCUAAUACCCUGCUUCUUUCCAAAUCUGUAUUGGUUCCUCUCCUUCAAUCUAUACCACUUUUGUCUUUUCAGUUUCAAAAAAACCUUAAAUCGCAAUUGGAAUCAAGCAACAUGUUAGUUUUCUUCUAAAUCUUUAAUGUCUAUCCUACAAGACGCUGAUGGUGGAUCGAGUUUUGAUAAUUUCAGAUCAAAGAUGGAAAGAAACUUCAGCAAAACAGAGUAAUGGUUCCUCAAGCCCUUUAAAAUUUUCAAUCAGAAUGUGAUGAUUGGGAACUGUCAACAGGAGAUGCAAAUGUGGUGAUGCUUUGAAAAGGAGAAAUCAUUUUCCAAAUUGGUUUUUUGUUUCUAACUCUUAGACAUGUUUCGCUUUUAUAAUUUUAAUUAAGUUCUAAAAAUGGAAUUGAUGAUGACCGAAACAUCAAAACAACUGUUUGAUAUUGGAAGAAGCUGGUUUGAAGAAGAAAAAUGAUAGAUCUGUGUGAUUCAGACAUUUUGCAAAGUAAUAGUCGUUUAUGCAGUACAGUUAUAAUUGUAAGUUUUCAACUUGUAGGUGGAUUUGCUUGAAAGAAAAAUGGAGGGGUUAUUGCAGGGAGUGCUAGAUCAAAUGGAGAAAAAGUAUGGAUUUGUCAUAGACGGUUCAACUUAUACAUCAAAACGGAUCUAUUUGUUCUGGAUGGGUUCGGUUUUGUCUCAGCGAUGAGGAAAUCCGUUCUUGAAACCACCCGUUGAUGAUUGCUGUUUGGGUUUCGAUUUCUUGGUUUCCAAAUCUAAGCUUGAUCUGAUCUCAUGUAAAUACUAAUUGUACCCAUGAUAUUCUUCACAUCGCUCAAAGAUGCAAAGUCGAAAUGAGGUUUAAUUAACGAUUCUUGCCCUAAUGAUGGAAAACCUUCACGGAUGGAUCAGAGUCAUCAAGUCACAUGGUGGAUCUUAAACUCAAGUUGCGUAAGGUUAGUCAAGUUAAUCUUCAUAUCUUAUUUAAUUUGAACAACUCUUGGAUAAACUGCAUAAUAUGAAUACAUUUUCAAAAUUAGUGUAGCUCUUGAUGAAGCUUGAUUAUGAAUAUGAAUGUGACUGUGUGUAAA